CCUACGGGAGGCAGCAGUGAGGAAUAUUGGUCAAUGGGCGCGAGCCUGAACCAGCCAAGUCGCGUGAGGGAGGACGGCCCUACGGGUUGUAAACCUCUUUUGCCGGGGAGCAACGGGCGCCACGUGUGGCGUCACUGAGAGUACCCGGAGACAAAGCAUCGGCUAACUCCGUGCCAGCAGCCGCGGGAAUACGGAGGAUGCGAGCGUUAUCCGGAUUUUUGGGGUUUAAAGGGUGCGUAGGCGGAUCGUUAAGUCAGUGGUCAAAUGGAGGGGCUCAACCCCUUCCCGCCAUUGAAACUGGCGUUCUUGAGUGGAAGAGAAGUAUGCGGAAUGCGUGGUGUAGCGGUGAAAUGCAUAGAUAUCGCGCAGAACUCCGAUUGCGAAGGCAGCAUACCGGCGCGCAACUGACGCUCAUGCACGAAAGCGUGGGUAUCGAACAGGAUUAGAUACCCUUGUAGUC
rnacentral:rRNA from 1 species